rnacentral:lncRNA from 1 species
UCCACAGACAGCCCCCCUGAAUGUUGUUAGGCAGCGACCACAUGGGUACAAAUAAACUUUUGUCAGUGUAGCCCUGUUGGUUUACAGCAACUUCCAGUUUUUGGCUUUUCUUCUCAAACCUUCAAUUAAACACAAGAAAUCUAUACCUCAAAUAAAAAGUUCUCCACCCACCCGUUUGCUGCCGGUACAGAUGAUGAGCACUUACAUGCGAAGGGACGCCCUCACGGCACCGCCAGCACUCCGGGACGGCUCAUCCCGACCCUCCUGGCAGUCAGAGCAGGUCAUUCCCCGUUUCCCCGAGCCCUGAGGGGUGGCACAGGUGAGCCCUGGCCGGGGGGAUGCCCUCACAGAGCUGCACACCCAACCAGGCCACCCACAGCCGGGCCCAGGCCGCCGGAAAGGCCUCGGCGCUCUGCUGCAGCAGCCACAUUUGGGCUCUUUUAAAGCCGUGCUUGGAGGAUGUGAAACACAUGCUGGACUGUCAGCCAAGCCCCACGUUGUAUUUAAAUCAACAGGACUCGCGGCUGCCUGGUCACAACGGGGCGGUGAAGGCCCAAGGACGGAGCGGCCACUUUGACACCUUCCUGCAGUCAUGGCUGAAAGCUGCGCGCUCCAUUCCAAAGAAAAAGGAGCAGAGAGAACAGAUGAGAAGGGAACAGACCUCUGGAGAACAUCUGGUCCCAAUGCUGUUCAAGCAGAGUCAGCUGGAGCAGGGUUCCCAAGACCAGGUCCAGUUGAGCUUUCAAUGUCUCCAAGGAUGGAGACUGCACAAACCUCCCUAG